rnacentral:rRNA from 1 species
AUUGAACGCUGGCGGCAUGCUUUACACAUGCAAGUCGAACGGUAACAGGCCGCAAGGUGCUGACGAGUGGCGAACGGGUGAGUAAUGCAUCGGAACGUGCCCAGUCGUGGGGGAUAACGCAGCGAAAGCUGCGCUAAUACCGCAUACGAUCUAUGGAUGAAAGCGGGGGACCGUAAGGCCUCGCGCGAUUGGAGCGGCCGAUGUCGGAUUUGGUAGUUGGUGGGGUAAAGGCUCACCAAGCCGACGGUCUGUAGCUGGUUUGAGAGGACGAACAGACACACUGGGACUGAGACACCGCCCAGACUCCUACGGGAGGAAGCAGUGGGGAAUUGUGGACGAUGGGCGCAAGCCUGAUCCAGCAAUGCCGCGUGCAGGAAGAAGGCCUUCGGGUUGUAAGCUGCUUUUGUACGGAACGAAAAGGCUCUGGUUAAUACCUGGGGCUCAUGACGGUACCGUAAGAAUAAGCGCCGGCUAACUACGUGCCAGCCGCCGCAGUAAUAC